rnacentral:rRNA from 1 species
AACGUAGGAGACAAACGUUAUCCGGAGUUACUGGGCGUAAAGGGCGUGUAGGCGGUUUGUUAAGUCUGGCGUGAAAGCUCUCGGCUAAACCGGGAGAGGUCGUUGGAUACUGGCAAACUAGAGGAUGGUAGAGGCGUGUGGAAUUCCGGGUGUAGUGGUGAAAUGCGUAGAGAUGCGGAGGAACACCGAUGGCGAAGGCAGCCCCCUGGGCCAACACUGACGCUCAGGCACGAAAGCGUGGGGAGCAAACAGG